rnacentral:rRNA from 1 species
AUGACGUCAAGUCCUCAUGGCCUUUAUGUCUAGGGCUACACACGUACUACAAUGGCCGGUACAAAGGGCAGCCACUCAGCGAUGAGGCGCUAAUCCCAUAAAGCCGGUCUCAGUCCGGAUCGCAGUCUGCAACUCGACUGCGUGAAGUUGGAAUCGCUAGUAAUCGUAGAUCAGCAUGCUACGGUGAAUACGUUCCCGGGCCUU